UGGGAAGUAUUGCACAAUGGGCGCAAGCCUGAUGCAGCGACGCCGCGUGGGGAUGACGGCCUUCGGGUUGUAAACUCCUUUCGCUAGGGACGAAGCUUUUUGUGACGGUACCUAGAUAAGAAGCACCGGCUAACUACGUGCCAGCAGCCGCGGUAAUACGUAGGGUGCGAGCGUUGUCCGGAAUUACUGGGCGUAAAGGGCUCGUAGGUGGUUUGUCGCGUCGUCUGUGAAAUUCCGGGGCUUAACUCCGGGCGUGCAGGCGAUACGGGCAUAACUUGAGUACUGUAGGGGUAACUGGAAUUCCUGGUGUAGCGGUGAAAUGCGCAGAUAUCAGGAGGAACACCGAUGGCGAAGGCAGGUUACUGGGCAGUUACUGACGCUGAGGAGCGAAAGCAUGGGUAGCGAACA
rnacentral:rRNA from 1 species